UCUGGUUUGCCCUUGGUCUCCUCCUCCUCCGGCCUGUAAGCUCCCUGGCACUGUUGGUUUUGAUCCCCACUGUGCCAGGACGUGGGGAAGCUUCUGGAAGCUAGCGGGUACUUGAGAAAAUUGGCACGGGUCCUCUCCUGGGCGGCAGCUGAUCCCCACCUGUGCCCGAGCACACUUGCCCCAGCUUAUGCUCUAAGGGAGGAACAUUCUCCAACUCUGCCUGCAGUUACUCAAAGAUGAGAUUUUAAAGCAGAUUGUUAUUUGGAAUUAAUUUUAAAUUUACAAGAGGUGCAAAAAUGCAGAUAGUAAAAGGUAUCUUUUAUCCAGCUUUGUUUGUGUGUAAUUUUUCUUCUGAGCCAUUGGAGGGUGAAUUACAUGUAUCAUGGCCCUUCCUGCUACAUACUCCUGUGGGCAUUUCCUAAGAAUGGAGAUUACCUCUAAUGUAAUCACAGCGCAGCUACCAACACCGUCAUUUUGCAUUGAGACAAUACUUUCAUCUCAUCUACUGUUCAUAUUCUAAUUUUGUGAUUUGAUAUAAUAAUGUCUUUUACCCCCUCCUCCCCUCAUACCUGCCUGUAGUACAGGAUCCAGUUUAGGGGCAGAUACUGCAUUUAGUUGUCAUGUCUCCUUAGGGCCCUUGAUCUAGAACAUUUCCACAGCAUUUCUUUGUCUCUCGUGACAUUGACAUUUUUGAAGCAUACAGUACCUGUACCCUUAAAAAAAAAUAGAAUGCUCUUUAUUUUGUGCUUGUCCAGCAUGCCUUUGUAAUUAUGCAGGAACACAGCAAAGGUGAUUUUGUUCCUUCUCAGGGUGUCACAUCUGCAAGCAGAUUUAAAAUCAGGACCUUUUUCAAGUGGCUUCUCCCAGCUCAAGCUGUUUCUGUUUCUCUUUGCUAUCAUGGGAUCUGUGCGAAUGCUUGUAACUUCAGGAGGUGGCUCUCUUUUCAAUGUGGGCUCUGAAAACAACUUCAUUCUCAGCUGUGGUUGAAAGACCUUAAUAAGCCUCCUGGCUUCUAGCAGGAAGGCCAACUUUAGGCAUGAGUGAUGCUGGCGGUUCCCACGCUUCCCAAAUGCCAUUUUCUCUGUCCCUACUGCCAGGGCUGCGCUAUAAAGUCCUCCCCACGGAGCAGCUGCGGCUGGGAACAAUCUACCUUUUACCUCCGUGGUGGUUUUGCUGCAUGGUUUUAAAAACACUCCAACGUGUGUUGUGCCACAGCAAGGGUUUGGAAGCUUCCAUUGCCCUUGGGCCUCCCUCCCUGCACUUGGAUUGCUGCAAAAAUGCUAAUGUCCCAAGAAGAGGGGACAUUGGAAACUACUACUGGCCAUUGGCUAUUGGAGAUGACCCAAUAGCUGGGUGUCGCUGGGGAGAGAUGGUAGAGACCACAGGGGGGCACAUGGACCCUGGGAUUGAUAGCAACAGUGACAUCUUGUAGUGACGCCCCUUUUGCAUGGUAGUAGCUGGUCUCACAAAAGAAAAAUGACACUUUUUUUUUGAUGCUUUAAAGUGUCCAUUGGGAAGGCAGCCUGAAGAGUGGAAAGAGAACCCACGUUUGAGUCCUGGCUCUACCACUGACUGACGUGAGGUUUUAACUGCACCGGAGCCUCCUCUGGGUUCAAGGUUUGUAGUGACAAUAGCAGAGAUAAUGUGUGUAGAGGCACGGGGUUCACACACUGUCAGCACGUCCACAGGGCCGCAUCCUCCCUGGCUCCCGCCUCCUGACGGCCUCUCCCGCUCCCCCGGCACUGACAUGGGGACACCACAGUGCAGGCCCAUAUGUUGGCAUCUGUGAGUGCCAACCAUCACUUGUCCAUACGACCCUAUGAACAAGGUUUGCACAUUUGGCACUGUUUUAAGCAAACACUGGGUUAGUUUUAAUCAUGUACGCUAAGACACACAGAUACGGAAAUCCUUGUCACCAAGAAGUGGCUUAUUAUCAUUACAGUUUCCCACAACCUGGAGGCACUGCCCUGGGAAGAAGCUCCAGGGCUGGUGCUGGAGGUGGGGUGCGGGAUGUGGGUAAGAGCCUUCGGUGUGGUUUCUGCGGGAAGGACAGGACAAGGCAGGGUGUGUGGGCUCAGGAUUGGUUAAUUUGAAUAAUUUCAGCAGGCUUUGGGGCACAGGGGCUGUGCCUACUUGUCUGCUACUGGCCCUGGGGUGAGUGGGACAGGUGGAUGGUGGCCCAGGAGGGCCAGAGCCCCGUGAUGGAGGUGGCCAGAGGUGGGGGCGUAUGGGCUCUGGAUUGGCCAGUUUGCAUCUGGAAAACAUACUCAGGGCUGGGGCCAAGUCGUUGACUAUUUGUAGGAAUCAGCUACUCCUGGCAGGGGCAGUCCCUUCAGGGUCAGCAAAGCCCUAAAUAUCAAAGCAUUAGAACAGAGAAAACAAAAGGCAUGGUUGAUACAGGCACUUUCCCUCCCCUGAAAGGAGAAAAGUCUCACUCUGGGGAUCCCCUGCAGUGAGGCUGCUCUCUGUUCCCUCAAAGCCUGAGGUCCCCAAGCCCUGGGUUGCAGACUGGUACAGGUCCAUGGCUUUGCUCUGCUACAUGCCCCCCGCCCCUCCACAGUCUGUGGAAAAAUUGUCUUCUAUGAAACCGGUCCCUGGUGCCAAAAAGGUUGGAGACCACUGCUCAAGGCCAUGGCUUGUGUCUAUGGUCUUCAAGGAUUCAUGCUCCACGGACACAAAUACAAACUUCCUGGGUGAGCUCAGAACGACUGGACUUUUCAAUGGAAUGGAGGUACUUCCAGUGUUACAUGAAGCUUGGAGGGCAGAGCAGUGUGUGCAGAUGCCUUGUCAACAGCCUCUCUUCAAUUUGCUUCUUGCUCCUGGGCACCAGGAGAUGCCUGCCUGGGGUGGGCUGGGGAUGCCCAGAGAAAGGACUGACCGCUUCGAAAGCGGGUGGUGUGCUGGCUUAGCAUGACACUGUCUCACUGGAGUUUGUCUCCUCUCUGAUGGCAACUUGGAAGAGGAAGUGAAACAUACAGACCACUCUGGAAUGUAAGGGUUCAGAACUCACCAGGUUUUGUUUGCAACUGGGAAUGAGACCAUCUCAGCUCACCAGCCCCAGCAGGGGGCAGUAAAGUCAAGUGGCUCUGCAUAUUAGUUCCCUUGUGUGCACAUGUGUAGGCUGUGCAGUGGUCAGACCUAUGUGAGCUCUAGUGUGCUGGUGAAGAUCAACAUGCAGGACCACUCAUGGGCUGCAGCAGGAGCAGACUGGAGGUGGAGGAGGAAGAAUGACCACUGUCAUGGCUCUGUGGAACUGGAGAGUUGGAACUACUGAUUAAGAGUGAGACAGGGUCUCACCCUGUCACCCAGGCUGGAGUGCAGUGGCACAAUCAGCGCUCACUGAAGCUGCCAACUCCCGGGCUGGAGGGAUCCUCCUGCCUCCACCUCCCGAGUAGCUGGGACUACAGGUGCACACCACCACACCCAGCCUCGCCUGGACUUUAAGUUUCUCCAGAGAAUGUACUAUGUGUAUUUCUUCCUCCCUCUCUUCUUUCCUUCUUUCCUUUUUCCCUCCCUUCUUUGCCUACUCUGAGCUGGCCCCUGUGUUUUAGGUUUGGGGCACAAAACAGUGAACAAGAAAAGGCCCGAUGCCUGCUGUGUGGAGUUUAUAAUCUAGACCAGAGUUCUUCAACUUCGGCAUUACUAACAUUUGGGCUGGAUAAUUCUCCACCGAGAGGGGCUGUCCUGUGCACUGUGAGGGGUUCAGUAGCACCCCCUGGCUCUAUCCUGUGGAUGCCAGUAGCACUCCCUCCACUUUUGGGUUUUUGGCAAACAAAAAUUGUCGCUAGACAUUGGC